rnacentral:rRNA from 1 species
GUGGGGAAUCUUGCGCAAUGGGCGAAAGCCUGACGCAGCCAUGCCGCGUGAAUGAUGAAGGUCUUAGGAUUGUAAAAUUCUUUCACCGGGGACGAUAAUGACGGUACCCGGAGAAGAAGCCCCGGCUAACUUCGUGCCAGCAGCCGCGGUAAUACGAAGGGGGCUAGCGUUGCUCGGAAUUACUGGGCGUAAAGGGCGCGUAGGCGGACAGUUUAGUCAGAGGUGAAAGCCCAGGGCUCAACCUUGGAAUUGCCUUUGAUACUGGCUGUCUUGAGUACGUGAGAGGUGAGUGGAACUCCGAGUGUAGAGGUGAAAUUCGUAGAUAUUCGGAAGAACACCAGUGGCGAAGGCGACUCACUGGCCCGUUACUGACGCUGAGGCGCGAAAGCGUGGGGAGCAAACAGGAUUAGAUACCCGGGUAGUCC